AUAUUAAUAAGCGGAGGAAAAGAAACUAACCAGGAUUCCCCUAGUAACGGCGAGUGAAGCGGGAACAGCUCAAAUUUAAAAUCUCCUCGGAGAAUUGUAGUUUACAGAUCGGGUGAUCGAGGUCCUGACCGUGUCCAAGUCUCUUGGAAUAGAGCAUCAGAGAGGGUGAGAAUCCCGUGCGACACGGCCCAGGGCCCGGUACGACGCCAGAUCAAAGAGUCGGGUUGUUUGGGAAUGCAGCCCAAAGCGGGUGGUAUAUUCCAUCUAAGGCUAAAUAUUGGCGAGAGACCGAUAGCGCACAAGUA
rnacentral:rRNA from 1 species